UACCUCCCCCAUCACUUUGUAGUCUUGUCUGAUACCCUUCUCCCCCUGCCACCCCCUCCUCCAGUCACACCACACUUGUCUCUGUGGCACCCUUACUAUUGCUCUGCCUGGUCCACUCAUCUCCCGGCUACUUACAGGGUAACCCCCUUUGUUCUUAGAGAGUCUUUCUCUGACUACAAUGUUUAAAAUGAUCUCCUGCUCAGUCACUCUAUCUCAUUUCCCUUUUAUAUUUUUUCAUAGUACUCAUCCCCGGGUAAGAGCAUCUUAGGUAUUUGAUUUAUUUGUUGGUUAUUUCUUACCACCAGAAUAGCAUAAUCACCAUGAAGAUGGACACUUCUCCUGUCACAUUUGAUGCCUGGGAACAUCUGAUUUACAAAAGAUGCUCAAUAAAUAUUUCUGAAUAAACAAAUGAAGAAAUGGAUCAUGUUCUGUCCAAAAAGUUCAUAACCAUGCACAAUAUUAACCAAAGGAAGUAGCAGUAACCAACGCAAAUGAAAAUUGUGGGAAAAGAAAGCAAAAUCCAAUGAACUCCUGUUUUAUGUCUCUAUAAAAUAUGAAAAUAUGAAGACCUACAUUAAGAAGGCAGGAAGUGUUGGAUCAAAACAGCAGAUUGUGGAAACUGUGAAAAAGCUUGUUACACUGAGAAAGAAAUCAACUUUACUCACCUGCAGGAGUCUACUUGGCUGAUUAAGAUAUAAGACCUUCAGCCUACUCCAUCCAAUGCAUCCAUCUGUCUUCAGAAGAGUUUAGAAUUCUGAUUUGCAAGUUCUGAUGCCUUGCAAAGAGUAAGACCAAGGU